rnacentral:lncRNA from 1 species
GAGGACCUUAUUUACUCAUGGGGGUGCGCGGCGCUGAACAAAUUCUGCUGAUCUUGGGUACUACCCACUUGCACUUCUGAUAGUAUGGGUCCCAGCUGGAAAUGGAGUAAGGUCGCAGCAAGAGACAGCCAGACAAAUGGAGAUGCAUGGCCUGCUGGAUAGGGGUCUGGCUUAUUGGGGAAGAAGCAUAUUCCGGAAGGACCAAGUGGCUAUUCCUGGUUGUCAACUUGACUAUAUUUGGAAUGAACUACAAUCCAGAAUUGGAAGGCUCACCAGUGACCCUUAUCUGGAGGCUGGGAGAUAGAAGUUUCUGAUCUGGAUCUUGGUAUGGAGAUCUUGUGGCAUAGUGGCUAUGGAUUCCAGAAGAUUAAAUCUCUGAGUUCAAGGUCAUCUAGGAUUAAAGGUGUGGUGGAACACACCUUUAAUCUGGGCUACACCUUCUGCUGGAGACAAUAUAAGGAUAUUGGAAGAAGGGAGUCUCGCUCUUGCUCUAUCGCCUGCUUGCCGUGUGGGACUGAGUAACUGCUAGAUCCUUGGACUUCCAUUUACAGCUACUACUGAACCAUUGUUGGGAAUUGGACUGCAGACUGUAAGUCAUCAAUAAAUUCCUUUACUAUCUAGA